UAAACAAUAAAAAUAUUUUUUAUUGUAUAUCCUUCAUUGCGUCCAAUUUUCUUCUUCCUCUGCAUCUCCACCAUUGCUACUACUGCUUGCCGCGCCUCCCCCACCGCUGUUCGUCGCCUCCAACAGUGGAGGGUUUGAGAGAGAGAGGAAGGUUAUUGGAUUUGGCUCCAACGGGCUUGCCCGUUGGCAUUAGAUCUUCAUCGUCUUCAAAGAGUGCUCCUGAAGCUGAAAGUGGGAAAAAUUGAAGGUGAGGUUGGAUAUUCCGACGAUGUACAAGAAGAUUGCUUGGAGAGAUGAAGGCAAUAUCGCAAGCCACCGUCAGUGCCUUGCCACCUCUACAGCAGAGCGAAACGCGCCACCACCCAAAGCCUCUUCUUCACGCCGCAAGCAGCGUCAUCCAAACCUCCACCACGAGUUCUCCCCUCAUCCAGAAAAGCAAUCAGCAACGAACAAUUGCACCUCUGCCACGACACAUAAGGGAUCCAGUGUCCCCAUAAACGCAAUCAGCAAUGAACAACCGCAAAUCAUGUUUUCUCCUUAGCGGUUCUUAAUCUGCAAACCUAGAAAAUCAACACAGUUCAUCCCAAAAUCAGAAAGAGAAACCCUAGAAUCGCGUGACCCCAAUUCGCGCCUUCACCUUCCCUAAAUCGUUAACUCCUACGCCUUCCACCUGCAUCAGAAAACAGAAACCACGAAGAAUCCUAAACACAAAACCCCAUUCGUAAAAAUCUCAAAUUGCAGAAACCCAGAACAAUGUGCCUUCUCCUUGCACCUCUUCGGACCAGAACAGUGUGCCUUAUUCCCAUAAAAAACUUAUUUUUUUAAAAAAAAUUCCAGGUAAUAAAAUAUUUUUACGUCAGCGUGAACCACGUGAUCACAAGUAAGGUGAAACUUAACUCCGUUAACUUCAUUUAACGGUAAGGGUCAAUUUCUUUCAAUUUUUCACUCUGAAGGACUUAAUUGGCAAAAAAAAUAAG